GGGCUCCAAGGAAGGAAUGAUGUUCUGAUUGGGUUUCAAGAAAAGGAUCCUGAGCCUCAGAGCUCUGAAAGAGCCACUUAAUCCCUGACCUUCCUGGAGGCAGA
rnacentral:snoRNA from 15 species